ACGUAAAAUGUGUCAUGUGGUGUAGAGGUUGGGUGAGAACGGGACGUGUUUCAUAAUUAUCAAGCAGGUACAAUAACCGCAAGGCUUAGGAGGGGAAUGGUGAGAAAAAAUCGUAUAAAAGGAGAGAGAAAAGGCGAAGCAAAAUCAGUUGAGUGAGCAUCUCCGACACGUCAACAACUGCAGCGCACUAUCUGUCACCAUCUGCCUUCUUCAUCCUUAUAACAUCAGUUCACAAUCAUUGCUAACUAUAGCGUUAUGUUGGAAAUCAUUGAUGGAUUGGUCGACCACGAGAGGAAAUCGUAUAAAAGGAGAGAGAAAAGGCGAUAGAUAUCAGUCGAGCGGGCAUCUCCGACACGGCAACAGCUGCAGUGCACUCUCUGUCACCAACAGCAUUCGUCAUCGUAUUACCAGUUCGCAAUCAUGGUUAACUAUGGCGUCGUGCUGCUGUUGGGUGUUGUAUCGUUGAUGGCUGGGUCGACCACUGGUGUACUUAUGUCUCCUGGGAAUUGCGGAUACCAAACCACAACGUCGCCGCCUACAACACAACAUCAACAUACGUAACAACCUGUUGUUACAUCACCGAGACUCCCAAGUACUACACGACCAAGGCACCGGAAUACUACACGACUACGUAUGCUGCCCCUGCCCACUACACCGAGGCCUCUAAUUACUACGGAGCACCGAAGAACUACACUACAACCUACGCUGCCCUAAGCUACUACACCUA